rnacentral:rRNA from 1 species
UGGGGAAUAUUGGACAAUGGGCGAAAGCCUGAUCCAGCCAUGCCGCGUGUGUGAAGAAGGUCUUCGGAUUGUAAAGCACUUUAAGUUGGGAGGAAGGGUUGUAGAUUAAUACUCUGCAAUUUUGACGUUACCGACAGAAUAAGCACCGGCUAACUCUGUGCCAGCAGCCGCGGUAAUACAGAGGGUGCAAGCGUUAAUCGGAAUUACUGGGCGUAAAGCGCGCGUAGGUGGUUAGUUAAGUUGGAUGUGAAAUCCCCGGGCUCAACCUGGGAACUGCAUUCAAAACUGACUGACUAGAGUAUGGUAGAGGGUGGUGGAAUUUCCUGUGUAGCGGUGAAAUGCGUAGAUAUAGGAAGGAACACCAGUGGCGAAGGCGACCACCUGGACUGAUACUGACACUGAGGUACGAAAGCGUGGGGAGCAAACAGGAUUAGAUACCCCAGUAGUCCCUGAGCGGGCUGGCAAGGCGCAU